rnacentral:rRNA from 1 species
UUCUUCGGAUGAAGAUCCUGGUGACUGAGUGGCGGACGGGUGAGUAACGCGUGGGUAACCUGCCUCAUACAGGGGGAUAACAGUUAGAAAUGACUGCUAAUACCGCAUAAGCGCACAGUACCGCAUGGUGCAGGGGUAAAAACUCCGGUGGUAUGAGAUGGACCCGCGUCUGAUUAGCUUGUUGGUGAGGUAACGGCCCACCAAGGCGACGAUCAGUAGCCGACCUGAGAGGGCGACCGGCCACAUUGGGACUGAGAUACGGCCCAGACUCC